rnacentral:rRNA from 1 species
UAAGCGGAGGAAAAGAAACUAACAAGAAUUCCCCUAGUAACUGCGAGUGAAGCGGGAAAAGCUCAAAUUUAAAAUCUGGUGGUCUUUGGCCAUCCGAGUUGUAAUUUAGAGAAGCGUCUUCCGCGCUGGACCGUGCACAAGUCUCCUGGAAUGGAGCGUCGUAGAGGGUGAGAAUCCCGUCUUUGGCACGGACGCACCAGGGCUUCUGUGAUGCGCUCUCGAAGAGUCGAGUUGUUUGGGAAUGCAGCUCAAAAUGGGUGGUGAACUCCAUCUAAAGCUAAAUAUUGGCGAGAGACCGAUAGCGAACAAGUACCGUGAGGGAAAGAUGAAAAGCACUUUGGAAAGAGAGUGAAACAGUACGUGAAAUUGUUGAAAGGGAAACGCUUAAAGUCAGUCGCGUCGCCCGAGACUCAGCCUUGCCUUGGCUUGGUGUACUUCUCGGCCGACGGGUCAGCAUCAAUUUUGCCCCUUGGAUAAUGGCGAGGGAAAUGUGGCACCUUCACGGGUGUGUUAUAGUCUCUCGUCGCAUGCAAGGGUCGGGAUUGAGGAACUCAGCACGCGCCUUUCGGCGUCGGGGUUCGCCCACGAUACGUGCUUAGGAUGUUGGCGUAAUGGCUUUAAACGACC